rnacentral:tRNA from 1 species
CGGACUAUGAUGUGUAAAGGUAACGCGAGAGGCUGUAACCCUCUAGAUCCUGGUUCGAUUCCGGGUGGUCCGA